rnacentral:rRNA from 1 species
GAUGAACGCUGGCGGCGUGCCUAAUACAUGCAAGUCGAGCGAACAGACGAGGAGCUUGCUCCUCUGACGUUAGCGGCGGACGGGUGAGUAACACGUGGAUAACCUACCUAUAAGACUGGGAUAACUUCGGGAAACCGGAGCUAAUACCGGAUAAUAUAUUGAACCGCAUGGUUCAAUAGUGAAAGACGGUUUUGCUGUCACUUAUAGAUGGAUCCGCGCCGCAUUAGCUAGUUGGUAAGGUAACGGCUUACCAAGGCAACGAUGCGUAGCCGACCUGAGGGGGUGAUCGGCCACACUGGAACUGAGACACGGUACAGACUCCUACGGGAGGCAGCAGUAGGGAAUCUUACGCAAUGGGCGAAAGCCUGACGGAGCAACGCCGCGUGAGUGAUGAAGGUCUUCGGAUCGUAAAACUCUGUUAUUAGGGAAGAACAAAUGUGUAAGUAACUAUGCACGUCUUGACGGUACCGAAUCAGAAAGCCACGGCUAACUACGUG